UUGACUUGGUAAUGAGAAUCGAUAUGAUUAUCACAACUGGUCGCGAGACUGGUCGAUAUUCUGAAAGCCCUUGGUUCGGACGCUCAGAUUAUCUCCUCAUCAGGCUAAUCACGGUUAUUUGACCCGGCUCUUGCCGGGUCUUUUUUUG
rnacentral:sRNA from 1 species